rnacentral:rRNA from 1 species
CCCUUAGAUGUCCUGGGCCGCACGCGCGUUACACUGAUGCAUUCAACGAGCUUAUAACCUUGGCCGAGAGGCCUGGGCAAUCUUGUUAACGUGCAUCGUGAUAGGGAUAGAUUAUUGAAAUUAUUAAUCUUGAACGAGGAAUUCCUAGUAAACGCAGAUCAUCAAUCUGCAUUGAUUACGUCCCUGCCCUUUGUACACACCGCCCGUCGCUACUACAGAGUGCCCGUGUCCAAGAAACGGUCGGACCUGUGCGGCCUCUCCGGGCGACCGGAGGGCCGUUACGGGGAAGACCCUUUAUUUGACGCGGGUCGAUGAAGUAAAAGUCGUAACA